rnacentral:lncRNA from 1 species
CUUGAAUCCGAGCGAACCUUGUGAAGAUAUGCUUCCACCAACAAGACGUGGAGAGAGUGAUAUUCCCUCGGCUUUCACAGGCCUGCAGCCUCUGUCUCACUCUCUUGGAAGGCUGCCCUGAGAGCGCCACGGAGAGCACUAGGCCCACCUGCGGGAGGGUGAGAGGCCGCAUGAAGGGAACCUGAGGCACCCAGCCAGGACCUAGCACCCACAGCCAGGCAUGCUGGUGAGGCCCACUCAGUCCUUCCCAGCCAAUAGUCCAGCUCGAUGCAGCUGCAGGAGCGAGCCCAGGUGAGAGCAGCUGAGGAACCACCCACCCGCCGACCCACAGAAGUGCAAACAGCCAUAAACUGUGUUUAAGUCACUGAGUUUUGGGGUCAUUUGUGGUGCAGCAAAUGCAACGGAACCAGGCUGCUUUACUAAAGUCGCGAGUUGAAAGAGAAAAACUGGAGCAAAUGAAGAGAACCAGGGAAAAUAACCUAUCAGCGCCCUGUACUCGGAAGUCAUGCUUCAAGCGACAGGAAGGGACUACCUGCCAUCGAGAGUGGUCACAGAGAACGUGUUCACCAGAUCCAUGCUCACCUUUCAUGCCAACCCGGCUUCAUGGGGAAAUUAGUUUGGUAGGAUUACCGUGUCAGAGCUGGUACAUGCUAACGUGGGAACCCAAAUAUGAGUGGGUUUACAUCUUGUUAGGUUCUCCUGAGAUCUCUAGAUGAUAUUUUUUAUCUUUUUUUUCCCUUUGUUCCUAAGUGUGCUGAGCUUAUUUCAAGCACAGUCAAUUCAAAAUCAACCUCUGCUGUAUUUCUGCAGCCGGGGCUCGGAGCACUGAGGUGAUUCAAUGCAGUAAUUAACGUCAAACACGAAACAAUCAGUGUGUGUGGGUGAUCACGUCUAAACAACUCAAAAAGAAAGACCCGGUGUGUUUGGCAUGUUUAGAUACAGACUCUCACCUCGUUUGCCUUCACGGAUUCCAGGUUGGAUUGUAGAUGAUGAAUAAUGAGCACAUUACUCAUGCCCUGAAAGCAUGACAUUGGCAAAUCACAUCGUUGUUGCAGUCUUAAGAAAUACUGCAUGAUUCUGUUUUGACAUAUUUUAUUUUCGGGAAGGAGAGCAGUUAUCUAUAUGGGCUCACCUCAAAGUGCCUACAACUGAUGGAGCAUUAUCAUAUUCCAUAAAUAAUUUGGGCACGAAUGUCAUUAUAGGUAUAAAUCAAAAGGACAACUUUUGCUUCCAGAUUUGCCUGUGUUUGUAAAUUUAUAUUGUAUUCAGUAAGGAAGGAGGUAACCUGCAGAGCUGUUCAAAUGGCUUAAAGCUCACUAGCUGUUGGGAGCCAGGCAGCAAAACUAAGAAGCUGUAGCUUUAUUGGCUGGUGUUAAAAAGAACUGACGCUUAUGAAGUAGAUGGGAGAGGAAGCCAUUGUAGAAGCUGGCUAUGGUCCAGAGCUGCGGUUCUCAAACCUGCGCGGGCAUCGGAGUCACCGGCAGACUUGCUGAACACAGGUUGCUGGGCUCCACCCCAGACUUUCUGGUUCACUGCAUUUCUGACCAGGCCGAUGUGAUGCCGAGCCCACAUUCACAACCCUUCACCAGAGAUCAAAGUGUUCCUCAUGGGAAGAAAGUUGGACUUUGCUUUAGGGAAGCACUUUGAUGAGACCCUUCCAUUGACAAGUUCAAGACUCCUCCUUAAGCUAGUUCGGAUUCAAAAGCAGAAUUCAAAAAGUAGUAAGGCAACGUGAAAGUGAAGUUGCCCUGUAUAAUAAAGCAAGGGGAGUUUUGUUGUUGGAUGGUAGCUGGAGGGCAGAGAUAGGACCGUGGAUGAUGGGGAGAAAGGUGAAAGGACCAGGGGUACACUCUAUAGUAAGAUGGUGGCAGACCUGGAAUCCACAUGGUAAGAAACUUCCUGAGGCUGGAAAGGGCCAAUGAAUCCCCAGAAAGAGUGGCGUCAGAUGUUCAAUGCGAAGUUUUCCUGAACUGUGCUGCUGUUUUUCCUGUGAUCCCCAACUCUGACCUCCACCAUUAUCCCCAGCAUUUACUAAAGAUCAGGUCUAUUCACUAGCCUCACUGAGUUCUUUAGGAUCUUGCCACUCAGGGUGUGAUCUAUGGACCUACAGCAAGCUGGCCUUCCAGAGAGCUUCUCAGAAAUGCAGAAUCUAAGGCUCCACCCCCACCGACUGAAUUGAAGUCUGGAGUUUAACAAGAUCCCUGUGAUGUGUUUGUGCAUUUGUGUUUAAAGGAACUUUUAAGGCAGAGUUGUCCAGACUUCUAUGAUAUCACUGUUGCCCGGGACACUUUUUAGGCAUGCAUAUUUUGGGCCCUACUCCAGCCUUUUGAAUCAGAGUUGUCCAGAGAGAGGCCUAGGAGUCUGUGUUUCUAAUUCUUAUGACGGAGCAUGUUUGGGAGGAAACUUCUUUAAGGGAAUGAAGGGGAACUGUUUUGAUGCUUGGGUGGUUAAAUCGAGGCAGGGACAGGAGGUCAGCCACAGGAAGCACGCAGCAGGUGGGGAUGAAAGUGAACAGAGAGUAGGACUUUGUAGUAAAAGGUGACAGAAGGACAUAAACCCGCUGCAGGAACCUCAGACCGCCUUGGCAGCAUUAGGAAGGUCUCUGGAUUUGCCCUAGACUGGUUGCUUUCAAGUGGUGGGGAGGGAUUUGGCAACAUCUGGAGACACUUUUGGUGGUUACAAGUGGGAGAUCUCACUGGCUUCUGGUGGGUAGAAGCCAGAGAUGCCGCUAAACCUCCUGCAAUGCAGGACAGUCCCUCCUACAGUGGCCCCAAAUCUUAGCCGUGCUGAAGUUGAGAAACCCUGGUCUAGGGCUGUGGCUUUAAGUGUGGUCCUGAACCAGCAGCAUCAUAUUGCCUGGGAAUACGGGACUUGUUAGACACGUUAGUUCAACUUUCUUCCCCUGAGGGGGCUGCAUCUCAGACCUCCUGGGUCACACACCGUAGGGCCGGGGUCCAGCGAUCCGUGGUUCAGCAAACACUCCAGGUGGUUCUGAUGCACACUACAGUCUGAGGACAACUGCGGACGUAGGCAGAGUGGGGCUCCCAUUUUUGUCCAUACAAAUUGCACAGCAAAUGAAAGGUGGCCUAGGAGGCUCAGCACUUGAGGCUGUCUGGGUUCAGCUGCCACACCAGCCAGGGAGUCUUGUGUGACCAGCCUUGUCAGCACCCCUGUGAGAGGGGUCUGCACAAGGGCUCCAUUGCGUCUCCUGGGAUCCCCCGUGGAAUGUGGCUUCCUG